GGACUGUGUGACAAGACUUACUUGUCGGUGCAAGAAGGGCAACAGCUGAGGAAUUCUCCUCUCGGUGACAGAUGACACGCUCUGUGCCCAGAUCUUCCAAAUUCACAGAUUCCCCCUUCACCUUUUGUCCUCGGAUGGAAGAGAAAAUCUUCUGAGUAGUUCCUGUGAGGAAAGCAAUCAAAACAAAGACCCCCUUUGCUCAAGGGUUACAUUGGAAGGCAGUUGAGUCUGUAUCUGCAAAGUAACUGAGGAAUGCCAUGGAUUCAGCAGACUGUAACAAAA